rnacentral:rRNA from 1 species
CCUACGGGAGGCAGCAGUGGGGAAUAUUGGACAAUGGGCGAAAGCCUGAUCCAGCAAUGCCGCGUGAGUGAUGAAGGCCUUCGGGUCGUAAAGCUCUUUUACCAGGGAUGAUAAUGACAGUACCUGGAGAAUAAGCUCCGGCUAACUCCGUGCCAGCAGCCGCGGUAAUACGGAGAGAGCUAGCGUUGUUCGGAAUUACUGGGCGUAAAGAGUACGUAGGCGGUUAUUCAAGUCAGAGGUGAAAGCCCGGGGCUCAACCCCGGAACUGCCUUUGAAACUAGAUAACUAGAGUCUUGGAGAGGUUAGUGGAAUUCCGAGUGUAGAGGUGAAAUUCGUAGAUAUUCGGAAGAACACCAGUGGCGAAGGCGACUAACUGGACAAGUACUGACGCUGAGGUACGAAAGCGUGGGGAGCAAACAGGAUUAGAUACCCUGGUAGUCCACGCCGUAAACGAUGAUAACUAGUUGUUCGGUCACUUGGUGACUGAGUGACGCAGCUAACGCAUUAAGUUAUCCGCCUGGGGAGUACGGUCGCAAGAUUAAAACUCAAAGGAAUUAACGG